rnacentral:rRNA from 1 species
AUACGGAGGGUGCAAGCGUUAUUCGGAAUCACUGGGCGUAAAGGACGCGUAGGCGGGUUGGCAAGACAGAUGUGAAAUCCUACAGCUUAACUGUAGAACUGCAUUUGAAACUGCUAACCUAGAGUAUGGGAGGGGGAGAUGGAAUUAGUGGUGUAGGGGUAAAAUCCGUAGAUAUCACUAGGAAUACCGAAAGCGAAGGCGAUCUCCUGGAACAUAACUGACGCUAAGGCGUGAAAGCGUGGGGAGCAAACAGGAUUAGAAACCCUAGUAGUCC